rnacentral:tmRNA from 1 species
GGGGCCGAUCGGUUUCGACGGUAGUUGUCCAGCAAGGGGAAGCGGGCCGAGAACCCAGAGUCAUCUCGUUAAUGUCCUCUGGAAACCAAUAAGUGCCGAACCCAAGCGCACUGACUUCGCUCUCGCUGCC